rnacentral:rRNA from 1 species
UACGUAGGGGGCAAGCGUUGUCCGGAAUCAUUGGGCGUAAAGCGCGUGUAGGCGGCCCGGUAAGUCCGCUCUGAAAGUCCAGGGCUCAACCCUGGAAAGCGGGUGGAUACUGCCGGGCUAGAAUCCGGAAGAGGCGAGUGGAAUUCCUGGUGUAGCGGUGGAAUGCGCAGAUAUCAGGAGGAACACCAAUAGCGAAGGCAGCUCGCUGGGACGGUAUUGACGCUAAGGCGCGAAAGCGUGGGGGAGCAAACAGGG